UACAGAGGUCUCAAGCGUUGUUCGGAAUUACUGGGCGUAAAGGGCGCGUAGGCGGCCUGCUAAGUCGGACGUGAAAUCCCUCGGCUCAACCGGGGAACUGCGUCCGAUACUGGUGGGCUCGAAUCCGGGAGAGGGAUGUGGAAUUCCAGGUGUAGCGGUGAAAUGCGUAGAUAUCAGGAGGAACACCAAUGGCGAAGGCAGCUCGCUGGGACGUGACUGACGCUGAGACGCGAAAGCGUGGGGAGCAAACAGG
rnacentral:rRNA from 1 species